UACGUAGGGUGCAAGCGUUAAUCGGAAUUACUGGGCGUAAAGCGUGCGCAGGCGGUUGUGCAAGACAGAUGUGAAAUCCCCGGGCUUAACCUGGGAACUGCAUUUGUGACUGCACGGCUAGAGUGUGUCAGAGGGGGGUAGAAUUCCACGUGUAGCAGUGAAAUGCGUAGAUAUGUGGAGGAAUACCGAUGGCGAAGGCAGCCCCCUGGGAUAACACUGACGCUCAUGCACGAAAGCGUUGGGAGCAAACAGG
rnacentral:rRNA from 1 species